GGGGAUUUAGCUCAGUGGUAGAGCGCUUGCCUAGCAAGCACAAGGCCCUGGGUUCGGUUCCCGGCUCUG
rnacentral:tRNA from 1 species